CUACAUACCUACAUAUUUAAAAAAAAAAAAAUAGAUUAGAAAAGAAAAAGAGAAAAAUUAGACAACUAAAUUUAUCUCGAUUUUUUUUUUUAUGUCUAAAACUAAACUGAUAUUUUUUUUUUUUAGAAACGUAGUCAGUCAUAUGAAUUAUGCAUUUUAACAUACACAUCAGUAAUUAUGCACCUGCGUAUGGAUUUUAUUGCUAAGAUAUAUAGCUAAUUAUAUUGAUAACAUAAAUUUAAAUGUGUACAAAUGUAAAUUCACAUGUAAACUUUUUAAUGUAUGAAUACAUUUAUUCUUUGAAAUGGAUAUAUACCUUUCAAAGUCCAAGUAUCUCGGUAAAAAAAGAAGAAAAAAGAAUUAUCAGAGACCUUUCAUACAUUCGCACAGAUAGCCAUGCACGCACGUGCUCAUGAAAUUAAUCAAUUUACAUCGAUAGGAUAAGAUGUCGUGCUAGAUAGCACGAAGCCGUGUAUUCAGGAUCGUUCGUCAAUCUGGGACUCGUGUUCGUGACCGUGAUUCGCUCGUUUUCUCACCCCAUUUUUUUUAGAACAUAAUAGAGAGUCUCUUUUAUGAAAUCAAGGAUGCAUGCAAUUGAUACCAGAAAUUAUCCAUGAUCGUGAUCUAGUUUUCUAUCGGCAGACAUAUUCCUUUCGAGAUAAGAAAUUAUAAAUACUAUUGGAUAUCAAAAAUUUGCGAUGUGUUAUGAAGUAAAACUUAAAAAAAAAA